GGUUGAACGACUUCCAGAGAACAUCAGGCUUGACUUGGAGGAAGUCAAAGACCUAUCCCAAUGAUGACGGGAGUAACAAGUAUAGAGUGGACCUAAGAUGCCAGCAUAAUACAAGCUCCAGUUCAGCCAGAAGUACCAAAAACACGUUGUGGUGCAAUAAUGUACCUCAUCCUGAAGAGGUCCAUUCAUACCCAACAAAGAGAAUCAAGGUCUGCAGAUCCCCAUAUGAAAGAAGGUUUCCUCUUUCAUGUCUGUCUACGGAACAACCACAACCACAGUCUGACAAGUGCUGAGGUGCUGA